GCGGUUGUGGUGGAACUGGCAGACACACCAUCUUGAGGGGGUGGCGGGGCGACCCGUGUGAGUUCAAAUCUCACCAACCGCACCA
rnacentral:tRNA from 1 species